UGGGGAAUUUUGGACAAUGGGCGCAAGCCUGAUCCAGCCAUGCCGCGUGCGGGAAGAAGGCCUUCGGGUUGUAAACCGCUUUUGUCAGGGAAGAAAUCCUCUGAGUUAAUACCUCGGGAGGAUGACGGUACCUGAAGAAUAAGCACCGGCUAACUACGUGCCAGCAGCCGCGGUAAUACGUAGGGUGCAAGCGUUAAUCGGAAUUACUGGGCGUAAAGCGUGCGCAGGCGGUUUUGUAAGACAGAGGUGAAAUCCCCGGGCUCAACCUGGGAACUGCCUUUGUGACUGCAAGGCUUGAGUGCGGCAGAGGGGGAUGGAAUUCCGCGUGUAGCAGUGAAAUGCGUAGAUAUGCGGAGGAACACCGAUGGCGAAGGCAAUCCCCUGGGCCUGCACUGACGCUCAUGCACGAAAAGCGUGGGGAGCAAAACAGGAUUAGAUACCCUGGUAGUCCACGCCCAUAAACGAUGUCAACUGGUUGUUGGGAAGGUUCCUUCUCAGUAACGUAGCUAACGCGUGAAGUUGACCGCCUGGGGAGUACGGCCGCAAGGUUGAAACUAAAUGAAUUGACGGGGU
rnacentral:rRNA from 1 species